rnacentral:rRNA from 1 species
GUAUCAUGGCUCAGGAUGAACGCUAGCGACAGGCUUAACACAUGCAAGUCGAGGGGCAGCACAGGUAGCAAUACCGGGUGGCGACCGGCGCACGGGUGAGUAACGCGUAUGCAACUUACCUAUCAGAGGGGAUAACCCGGCGAAGUCGGACUAAUACCGCAUGAAGCAGGGGUCCCGCAUGGGGAUAUUUGCGUAAAGAUUCAUGGCUGAUAGAUAGGCAUGCGUUCCAUUAGG